rnacentral:rRNA from 1 species
GAUGAACGCUGGCGGCGUGCCUAAUACAUGCAAGUCGAGCGAACGGACGAGAAGCUUGCUUCUCUGAUGUUAGCGGCGGACGGGUGAGUAACACGUGGAUACCCUACCUAUAAGACUGGGAUAACUUCGGGAAACCGGCGCUAAUACCGGAUAAUAUUUUGAACCGCAUGGUUCAAAAGUGAAAGACGGUCUUUCUGUCACUUAUAGAUGGAUCCGCGCUGCAUUAGCUAGUUGGUAAGGUAACGGCUUACCAAGGCAACGAUGCAUAGCCGACCUGAGAGGGUGAUCGGCCACACUGGAACUGAGACACGGUCCAGACUCCUACGGGAGGCAGCAGUAGGGAAUCUUCCGCAAUGGGCGAAAGCCUGACGGAGCAACGCCGCGUGAGUGAUGAAGGUCUUCGGAUCGUAAAACUCUGUUAUUAGGGAAGAACAUAUGUGGAAGGAACUGUGCACAUCUUGACGGUACCUAAUCAGAAAGCCACGGCUAACUACGUG